GGAACCGUGGUGUAGUUGGCCUAACAUGCCUGCCUGUCACGCAGGAGAUCGCGGGUUCGAAUCCCGUCCUGUUCCGCCA
rnacentral:tRNA from 1 species